GCACACACCAUGAUGACAGUAGACUGAACCUCUGAAGCCGUCUCCUUGCUACCUAACAGUGGAAGAAUCAGCAUUGAGCUCUGGUUCCCAUCUUCUGGUCAACUUCCCAAGCAAGCUUUUUCUUUUUGCAAAAGCCGGUGUCGUGGUGUUGGCUUUCAUGCACCCUGUGCAGCUGGCCCUCACUCAAUAAUGCACAAAGGGGUUUGGAAGCAGAAGACUGAAAACAUAGAGGAACAGGAAAGAACGGAGUCAAGGAGAAGUCUGGAUCCCGAAGGAGCAGCUGAGCUCUGUGAGGACCAUGUUUCUCUGCAGCUGGUGUAAGAAGGAGGAGACUCUGGGAUCUGGAUGCUCUCCCUGGACACCUGCCUCAGGUCCAGCUCCAGUGAAGCCAGAAGGACAACCUGGUUACAGCGACCGGAAUGCGAGUCGCAGGCACGGCAUGGCUGCUCACAGUCCUGUUCCGUGUGUGCUCCUCUCAGGAGGCUGAGAGGGAGACGUAUGGGGUGCUUUCUUGGCCCUGGUCUGAUGGAGGACUGAUGUUGGUGGGAUUUGGGCCUUGACUUCUGCUGGCUAGCUACCCUGUGCUGCCUGGCAACUGCGUGAAGAACGAGAACCUUAUUAUCCCUUCAGAACUUGAUGAAUAUUGCCAGCCAUUAAAGCAAAGUC